rnacentral:rRNA from 1 species
UACGUAGGGGGCAAGCGUUGUCCGGAUUUAUUGGGCGUAAAGAGCGUGUAGGCGGCUUUGCAAGUCCGUUGUGAAAACUCGAGGCUCAACCUCGAGACGCCGAUGGAAACCAUCUGACUAGAGCCGGAGAGGAGAGUGGAAUUCCGUGGUGUGAGCGGUGAAAUGCGCAGAUAUCAGGAAGAACACCCGUGGCUAAGGCGG